UAAUUUUUAAAAAAAGGGAAAUGGUGGUU
rnacentral:piRNA from 1 species